GACGAACGCUGGCGGCGUGCUUAACACAUGCAAGUCGAACGGUAAGGCCCUUCGGGGUACACGAGUGGCGAACGGGUGAGUGACACGUGGGUGAUCUGCCCUGCACUUCGGGAUAAGCCUGGGAAACUGGGUCUAAUACCGGAUAGGACCACUGCCUGCAUGGGUGGUGGUGGAAAGCUUUUGCGGUGUGGGAUGGGCCCGCGGCCUAUCAGCUUGUUGGUGGGGUGAGGGCCUACCAAGGCGACGACGGGUAGCCGGCCGGAGAGGGUGACCGCCCACACUGGGACUGAGAUACGGCCCAUACUCUUGCGGGAGACAGCAGUGGGGAAUAUUGCACCAUGGGCUGAAGCCUGAUCCAGCAACGCCGCGUGAGGGAUGACGGCCUUCGGGUUGUAAACCUCUUUCACCAUUGACGAAGCUGCAUCUUUUUGGGUGUGGUGACGGUAGGUGGGGAAGAAGCACCGGCCAACUACGUGCCAGCCGCCGCAGUAA
rnacentral:rRNA from 1 species